rnacentral:rRNA from 1 species
GUGGGGAAUAUUGGGCAAUGGGCGCAAGCCUGACCCAGCAACGCCGCGUGAAGGAAGAAGGCUUUCGGGUUGUAAACUUCUUUUACCAGGGACGAAACAAAUGACGGUACCUGGUGAAUAAGCCACGGCUAACUACGUGCCAGCAGCCGCGGUAAUACGUAGGUGGCGAGCGUUAUCCGGAUUUAUUGGGUGUAAAGGGCGUGUAGGCGGGACAGCAAGUCAGAUGUGAAAACCAGAGGCUCAACCUCUGGCCUGCAUUUGAAACUGUUGUUCUUGAGUAUCGGAGAGGCAAGCGGAAUUCCUAGUGUAGCGGUGAAAUGCGUAGAUAUUAGGAGGAACACCAGUGGCGAAGGCGGCUUGCUGGACGACAACUGACGCUGAGGCGCGAAAGCGUGGGGAGCAAACAGGAUUAGAUACCCCGGUAGUCC